rnacentral:rRNA from 1 species
CAGCAGCCGCGGUAAUACAGAGGGUGCGAGCGUUAAUCGGAUUUACUGGGCGUAAAGCGUGCGUAGGCGGCUUCUUAAGUCGGAUGUGAAAUCCCUGAGCUUAACUUAGGAAUUGCAUUCGAUACUGGGAAGCUAGAGUAUGGGAGAGGAUGGUAGAAUUCCAGGUGUAGCGGUGAAAUGCGUAGAGAUCUGGAGGAAUACCGAUGGCGAAGGCAGCCAUCUGGCCUAAUACUGACGCUGAGGUACGAAAGCAUGGGGAGCAAACAGGAUUAGAUACCCCAUAGUCCCUGUCUCUUAUACA